GAUGAACGCUGGCGGCGUGCCUAAUACAUGCAAGUCGAGCGAACAGAUGAGGAGCUUGCUCCUCUGACGUUAGCGGCGGACGGGUGAGUAACACGUGGAUAACCUACCUAUAAGACUGGGAUAACUUCGGGAAACCGGAGCUAAUACCGGAUAAUAUAUUGAACCGCAUGGUUCAAUAGUGAAAGACGGUUUUGCUGUCACUUAUAGAUGGAUCCGCGCCGCAUUAGCUAGUUGGUAAGGUAACGGCUUACCAAGGCAACGAUGCGUAGCCGACCUGAGAGGGUGAUCGGCCACACUGGAACUGGGACAGGGUCCAGACGCCUACGAGAGGCAGCAGUAGGGAAUCGUCCGCAAUGGGCGGAAGCCUGACGGAGCAACGCCGCGUGAGUGAUGAAGGUCUUCGGAUCGUAAAACUCUGUUAUUAGGGAAGAACAAAUGUGUAAGUAACUAUGCACGUCUUGACGGUACCUAAUCAGAAAGCCACGGCUAACUACGUG
rnacentral:rRNA from 1 species